rnacentral:rRNA from 4 species
GACCCCAGGUCAGGCGGGGCUACCCGCUGAGUUUAAGCAUAUCAAUAAGCGGAGGA